AAACAAUAGGUUUUCCAUUGUUACAGUUUCUUUGUCGAGAAGUUUCUUCCGAAAGCGAAAUACGUUUUCCAAAGUUCGUCGUUAAUUUUUCGAAGAAAAUUGUGUUAAAAGCAAAUCUUUCAUAACGGAGAAGGAGUGCAUAAAAAAUGUAUAUGUUGAUGCAGAUAUAAAUGGAGAUACAAAGUUAAAGUUUUCUGAGGAGCAAUUUGAUCCUCCUGACUUCAGCAUAAAACUCCCAACAGAUAAUGAUAAUAUCGAAGAUUCCUUGAGUUGGGAUUUUGAAAGUUAUCAAGAUAUAAGGUAUACGAAAUUUGUUAUCGAUCUGGCUAAGGAUUAUUUUGUUUAUAGCGAUUCUGAUUUACAACAUGCUGAUCAGAAACAUGUUUACUUACGUAGCCAUGAAUAUGAAAAUCAUCACUCAUGUGCUCAAAAAGUUGAGCUGCAAGAUAUCAACGGUUUACAGAACAGUUUUCUAUUGUCGUUUCUAGAAAUCCGAAGUGCUUGUCUGAGGAGAAACUUGAUCCUCCAAAUCUCAGCUUAACUAAAUAUGACAAUCACGAUGAAAAUGCUUUCUUGAGUUGGGAUUUAGAAAGUUACCGAGAAACAGGUUACAUGGAAAUUGUUCUCGGUCUUUCUGAGGAAUAUUUCGGAUAUACAAAUUCCAAUUCGCAACAAGAUUAUAAAGAAAAUAUUUACUUUCGUUGCGAUUUGUACGAAAAUCAUCAAAUAUCAAGUGCUCAAAAUAUCGAGUCAAAAGCUAUGAACAACUG